GCCCACUCAGCCCCACAGCCACAGAGCCUCAAAGGCAAAGGCAAGCAAAGACAAACUCCCGGCUGAAGGACGAGGAUAAAGAAAGGAGAAGAAAUGAUCCUGAAAAGAUGGAAAGGACAGAGUGAGAGGCGGAGCCCUCUCCUCAGGCACAGGGAGGGGACCAGGCGCCAGCCCAGUGCCUGGAGGGGCCCCGUGUUGAGCAUCUCUCUGCGCCAGGCAGUAUGCUUAACAGGAUCUCCCGGAUCUCACUGUCAUACAGGCUGGGAGUGCAGUGGCACAAUCUCUGCUCGCUGUAUCCACCACUUCCUGGGCUCAAGGGAUCCUCCCACCUCAGCCCCCUGAGUAGCUGAAACUAUAAGCACACGCCACUAUGAGCAGCAAUUGUUUAUUUUUUGUAGAGACAAGGGAUCACUAUGUGCCCAGGCUGGUCUUGAACUCUUCUACUCAUCUAAUCCUCCCAUCUCAGCCUCCCAAAAUGCUGGGAUUACAGGUACGAGACACUGCACCUGGCUUAGGAGUAUUUUUAUCCCCACUUUUGACAGAUUAAGGAUGGUGUCAAAUUCUUUAUCACUCCUUCCAUCAUAGACUCUAUGACCAAUUCACCAAUAAAAUAUGGCAAAAGUGAUACCAAUGACACUUUCUGGUCCAGCCCUAAAGAAACUGGCAGCUUCCUCUUCUUAUGUUUGAACCCUGAGCUACCAUGUUAGAAGUGCAGGCACCCUAUGGGAGAGUGCACGUGGAGAGGACCUGGGACUAUGUGGAGAACCCAAUGUAAGAAUGAAGUCUCUGGGCGCAGUGGCUCACAUCUAUAAUCCCAGCACUUUGGGAGGCCGAGAUGGGCUGAUCACCUGAGGUUGGGAGUUCGAAACCAGCCUGACCAACAUGGAGAAACCCCAUCUCUACUAAAAGUACAAAAAAUUAGCCAGGCAUGGUGAUGCAUGCAUGUAAUUCCAGCUACUCGGGAGGCUAAGGAAGGAGAAUUGUUUGAACCCAGGAGGCAGAGGUUGCAGUGAGCCGAGAUCACACCAUUGCACUCCAGCCUGGGCAACAAAAGUGAAACUCAGUCUCAAAAAAAAAAAAAAAGAAUGAAGUAAUCUUGGCUUGGGAGGCUGAGUCAGGAAGGAUUGCUUGAGGCCAGGAGUUCCAGACCAGCCUGUGCAACAUGGCAAGACCUUUCCUCAAAGAAAACCGAAGCCAUCUUAUGUCCUCCAGCCCAGCCUAGCACCAGCUAAAUACUACCGAGUGACCCAGUUGAUGCUGCAUAGUGCAGAAGAAUCACCCAAUCAAGCUUCAUCUGAAUUCCUCAUCCACAAAACCGUGAAACAGAAUAAAAUGGUGGGUUGCUUUCAGCCACAACAUUUUGGGAAGGUUUUUUUUUUUGUUUUUUUUUUUUUUGAGACAGAGUUUCGCUCUUGUUACCCAGGCUGGAGUGCAAUGGCGCGAUCUAGGCUCACCGCAACCUCCGCCUCCUGGGUUCAGGCAAUUCUCCUACCUCAGCCUCCCGAGUAGCUGAGAUUACAGGCACGUGCCACCAUGCCCAGCUAAUUUUUUGCAUCUUUAGUAGAGACGGGGUUUCACCAUUUUGACAAGGAUGGUCUAGAUCUGUUGACCUCGUGAUCCACCCGCCUCGGCCUCCCAAAGCGCUGCGAUUACAGGCUUGAGCCACCGCGCCCGGCCGGGAAGGUUUUUUACCUUCCCAGCCAUAGCCAAAAUACUGCCUAACAGCUGAAGACAUGAAGGCUUAGAGAGGUCCUGUCUUACCCAAAACCACAUUCCUGGUAUACAAAGACACUGAGGCUGGGCACAGUGGUUCACAUCUGUAAUCCCAAACUUUGAGAGGCUGAGGCACGGGAGAAUCACUUGAGGCCAGAAGUUUGAGACCAGUCUGGGCAACAUAGCAAGACCGCAUCUCCUCAAAAAAUGGCAGUGCAUGCCUGUAGUCUUACUUGGGAGGCUGAGACAGGAGGAUCGCUUGAGCCCAGAAGUUUGAGGCUGCAGUGAGCUAUGAUCACACCAUUGCACUCUAGCCUGGGCAAUGGAGCAAGACUCCAGCUCUAUGAAAAAAAAAAAAAAAAAGACACUGAGGUAUGACCCUAGGUCUGUCUGCUCCAGAAGCUGCUCCUUUAACCACUGUGCUUUACUGAGGAUGAGCCAGAACUUGUAAUGAUGAUUCGGUUUCAAUUUUUCGCUGCUUCUCCCACAGUGAGUGGGAGAAAAUAAUGGUCCAGGAAAUGCACAUGACUACAGGGGGCUGCCAGCCUCCACACAGUGGCCUGCCAAGGCCCCCAGCAACACUUUUCAUUCCACAAGUAAUCCCCCAGACUGCUCUUGGCAACUGGCUGUCCUCUCAGCCCAGCCCUUUUGUUCCUAGGAAAAUAGGAGCCCAGAGAGUAGGUGCCAUCGGACUGGAUUUUUCUUUCUUUUAUCUUUUUUGUUGUUGUUGGUACGUGGUUUCACUCGUCACCCAGGCCGGAGUGCAGUGGUCACAGCUCACUGCAGUCUCAAACUCCCAGGCUCAGGUGAUCUUCCCACCUCAGCCUCUAAGUAGCUGGGACCACAGGAGUGCACCACCAUGCCCGGCUAAUUUUUGUAUUUUUUGUAGAGACUGGGUUUUGCCAUGCUGCCCAGGCUAGUCUCAAACUUCUGGGCUCAAGCAAUCUGCCCACCUAAGCCUCUCCAAGUGCUGAGACUGCCCAAGGGUGAUGGUUCACACCUGUAAUCUCAACACUUUGGGAGGCCGAGGUAGAAGGAUCACUUGAGGCCAGCAGUUCAAGACCAGCCUGGCCAACAUGGCAAAACCCUGUCUCUACUAAAAAAUACAAAAAUUGGCCUGGUGUGGUGGCAUAAGCCUGUAAUCCCAGCUACUCAGGUGGCUGAGGCAAGACAAUUGCUUGAACCUGGGAGGUGGAGUUUGCAGCAAACCGAGAUUGCACCACUGCACUCCAGCCUGGGCAACAGAGCAAGACUCUAUCUAAAAAAAAAAAAGC